AGUUGUUUGGUAGUUUGGUGUGCUGCUGUCAUUCUUAUGGAUUUAAUAAAAAGGUUUAAGAAAAAGCUAAAUUUUCUGUUUUAGGUUAUUUCAAGAUAGUCAUCUUUAAAUUUGUUCAUAACUUUUUCAAAUCAACUUGCAUUUUCAUAAAACUCUACUGCUAAAUCAUUUUUAUAUUGAUCUUACUGAAUGCCAGGCUGUUUAGUACUUUGUUUUUUUUU
rnacentral:lncRNA from 1 species